CCUACGGGGGGCAGCAGUGAGGAAUAUUGCACAAUGGAGGAAACUCUGAAGCAGCGACGCCGCGUGCGGGAAGAAGUAUUUAGGUAUGUAAAGCUCUAUCAGCAGGGGAGAAAAUGCCGGUACGUGAAUAAGCAGCCCCGGCUAACUACGUGCCAGUAGCCGCGGUAAUACGUAGGGGGCAAGCGUUAUCCGGAUUUACUGGGGGUAAAGGGGGCGUAGACGGCAGCGCAAGUCUGAAGUGAAAUGCCGGGGCUUAACCCCGGAACUGCUUUGGAAACUGUGCAGCUAGAGAGCAGGAGCGGUAAGUGGAAUUACUAGUGUAGCGGUGAAAUGCGUAGAGAUUAGGAGGAACACCAGUGGCGAAGGCGGCUUACUGGACUGUAACUGACGUUGAGGCUCGAAAGCGUGGGGAGCAAACAGGAUUAGAUACCCUGGUAGUC
rnacentral:rRNA from 1 species